UACUAUCUAUACAUGGAAGAAAUAACUUGAAAAAGCUAAAACUGCUACGGGUUACCCUUCCUCGAUCAGAAAAUUGCAUGUCUCCCACAUCUUAAUAAGAAACUGCUGUUUUUGAAUCAUGAGUGGUGAAAGUAUUGUAAACUUAUCUGAAUUUACCCCUGAUCUGAAUUGUCUUUUAAUUCUCCACCCUAUUUGUUAAGCUCCUGCGAUUUCCAAAUUUACCCUUCUCUGAAUCGUACAAUUUGAACGAGAUUUCU
rnacentral:lncRNA from 1 species